GGGGCCGCACGCGCGCUACACUGACCGGAUCAGCGUGUGCUCUCCUUGGCCGACAGGUCCGGGAAACCCGUUGAACCCCGGUCGUGCUAGGGAUAGGGAAUUGCAAUUAUUUCCCUUGAACGAGGAAUUCCCAGUAAGCGCGAGUCAUUAGCUCGCGUUGAUUACGUCCCUGCCCUUUGUACACACCGCCCGUCGCUACUACCGAUUGAAUGGUUUAGUGAGGUCCUCCGAUUGGACCCGGUCCGGGCGGCGACGUCCGAGCCGGCGUCCGAGAAGACGAUCUAACUUGAUCAUUUAGAGGAAGUAAAAGUCGUAACAAGGUUUCCGUAGGUGAACCUGCGGAAGGAUCAUUA
rnacentral:ncRNA from 1 species